UGGACAGACUGAGAGAGGAACUGAUGAAAGAGAGAGAGAUAGAGAUUGAAGAGAGAAUUGACAAGUGUAAGAGAGGAAGAAAGGAGGAAAUUAGAUGACGAAAAACAGAUGGAGUUUGCAGAAGCAGUGAAAGCUUUGGCGCAGGACAAGGAAAGGGUUAUUGAAGAUUUGAAGAUUAGGAUUCAACUUCUAACAGAUGAGUGUGACAGAAGAAGAGGAGGAGGAGGAGGAAGGGAAAAAUGUUGGAGGACAGAUAUUGCAAGAAAAUGUUGAAUUGAAGAAUCAGAUCACCUCACUGCAGAAACAAGUCAGAAAUUUGGAAACUGAACUGGCAAGAGCAAAACGGUUUUCAUUUGUGACGCAGCAGAGCACCACCACCACCACUGCCACCACCGCCACCGCUGCUGCUGCUGCCACCGACAUGACGGCCUCCACAGCCUCAACGACUGUUAAUGAAGACACAAGAGAGAAUUUGGUACGUUAGGUUAGGUUUACCAGUGUCUCUCUUCUGAAUCACUGUGCUUUGUCACUGCCACUGUUUUGCAAGGCCACAGGGAUGUUUAGCUGGGUUCUCAAGAGUGUUUCUCCUACACAAAUGUUGUUAAUCUGUCACUGGAACCAUAAAAACACCCUUGAAAACCUGCAUUUUAAAAGAGUGUUUCUCCUGUCAUUAAUGCAGAAAUGAACACCCUUGAAAACACAGGUCACUUCAGUUAGAGCAUUUUAAAAGAGUGUUUCUCCUGUCAGUAAUGCAGAAAUGUUGUUGAUCUGUCGCAGAAAUGUUGUUAAUCUGUCGCAGAAAUGUUGUUAAUCUGUUGCAGAAAUGUUGUUAAUCUGUUGCUAGAACCAUAAAAACACCCUUGAAAACCCA